CGCACGCGCGCUACACUGAUGUAUUC
rnacentral:ncRNA from 2 species